rnacentral:rRNA from 1 species
GCCUUGGCUUCGAUGUUAAUGGGCUCCGUCACGGAGAAGGUUUUGCAUAAAGCUGCCUGCCCGGUACUUGCUGUUAAGCAUCCUGAGCAUGAAUUUACACCGUCUUAAAUAUAAAAUAGGGACUUGCUUAUGAAGAUUCUGGUUCUUUACUAUUCUAAGUAUGGCCACACAUUAAAAAUAGCUCAAGCUAUUAUGCAGGGUGCGCAGUCGGUUCAAGGCGUUGACGUGAUUUUGCGGCGGGCGCCUGAAUUCUCGGAAGAUCAGCAGCAAAUUCUAAAUGACAAAUAUGCAAAGCCGG